GGAGGAGAUUUGUCCUCUUUGUUGCACGUCAUUCAGAUUUACCCUUUCUCCCUCUAGGGCUUCUCUUCACAAAUCUCAAUUCAAUCAAAAGGAGAGAGAAAUCGACGAUUUACAACUAGGGUUCCACUUUGUUGGGUUUCUCUGCUCCGUAUUUUGCACAUCUUCGAUCUUCAAGGAACCUUUUUCUGUAUCUUGAUUUACAUGAAUGGAUACAAGUUCAUGCCUAGAUGAUCUCAACACCCUCUCAUCCUCAUCUUUACCUUCUCAAAUCCAUCAAAAUGAUAGGAGCGUGCUUCAUUUGCUGGCAAGAAGAGAAAUAGCUCCWAGAACAGCAAAGUGCUUGCCAAAAAGGCAGUGGGGAGAAGCUUUUAAUCGGAAGCAUCAGUCAUCUGUUAAACCUGAAAGUGAAAGAGUGAGGAACUCAAGACGUGAACUUCUUUCAUGGGUGGAGGCUGAGUCAUUGCGGUGUUUAUCAGCCAAAUAUUGUCCUUUGGUGCCUUCUCCGAGGUCAACUAUUGCAGCAGCAUUUAGCGCAGAUGGCAAAAUUCUUGCKUCUACUCACGGUGACCAUACCGUUAAAAUAAUUGAUUGCCAAACUGGAAAAUGUGAAAAGGUGCUGAGUGGUCAUCGAAGAACUCCUUGGGUGGUUAGAUUCCACCCACUGCAUCCAGAAAUACUUGCGAGUGGAAGCUUGGAUCAUGAAGUUCGAUUGUGGAAUGCAAAUACAUCAGAAUGCAUAGGGUCCCGUGAUUUUUACCGCCCUAUUGCUUCCAUUGCAUUCCAUGCUGAAGGAGAACUGCUUGCCGUUGCUGCAGGCCAUAAGCUGUAUUUAUGGCAUUACAAUAGUAGAGGAGAGACUUCCUCACCUACUAUUGUAUUAAGGACGAGGCGRUCUCUUCGUGCGGUGCACUUCCAUCCACAUUCUGCUCCAUUUUUGUUAACUGCGGAGGUCAAUGAUCUUGACUCUUCGGAUUCUACAAUGGCACCUGCAACAUCUCUUCGUUAUUUGCACUAUCCUCCUCCUGCUGUAUAUAUGGGAAAUAUGCAUUCCAUUGAUCGUCUAAGUUUAGCUGCAGAGCUACCAUUGAUGCCUGUACCUCUCUUCUGUUCUCCUUCUUAUGCAACUGCCGAUUCAAGGCCACAACUACAGAUCGGCAGGAGACCUGUUGACUCAGACAACGGACAAUUAGAAUCUUCUGACCGACUUCAAGUUCUUGCAAAUGCAACUGAACUGUAUGAACAGAUGAUGGCUUCUUCUGUUCCUUCGUCGAGCACUCAUGAUACAGUAGUUGAUAGUGUAUCUAAUCCUACUCCCGGUGAAAUGCAAAGCUCUUUUUAUAGAAAUGCAAUGGAUGUCACUGGGACUACUGCGGUACAACCUCCAGUGGAGUACCAGCAAAAUGGGGCUUCUGACAUGGAUACUUCUGGUGCUGUGGGUGUCCCCGAGCCAGUGCCUAGUCAGAUGGGCGGGGCUACRGUCGAGAUUAGGCAAGAUUUAUUUAGAGAUCGUGUGUGUUGGGAAUUACCUUUCAUGCAAGGAUGGUUAGUCGGCCAAAGCCAAGCUGGCACUCAAUCAACCUUCCCUCUUACUGGCAGUACACAGGAACAUUCAGCUGGUAAUAGGGGGCCGGGACCAACUACAUUGCCACCUGAGUCAGCCUCCUCUAAUGGGGAGCUUUUAGAGGCUUCAUUGGUAAUGCCACAUGGUACAAACCGAGUGACUCUAGAGAGACCAGGUUUACGGGAUCUUUCUUCAAAUGCUGCCUCAACUUCUGCAUCCGAAUAUAGGCAAAAUGCUCUGAUCAAUGAGCCAAAUGAUGGGGGUGAUUCUUUUCCUAUCAUUAGUCGAAUACAGUCUCAACUUUCUGCAUCAUUGACUGCUACCGCUGCUGCUGAGUUGCCUUGCACUGUAAAGCUAAGAAUAUGGCCUCAUGAUUUUAAAAAUCCGUGUGCCUCCCUCAAGGCUGAACGAUGCCGUCUAAUAAUACCACAUGCAGUACUUUGUAGUGAAAUGGGGGCCCAUUUUUCACCUUGUGGGAGAUAUCUAGCUGCUUGUGUUGCAUGUGUGCUUCCUCAGUUUGAAGCUGAUCCUGGGAUACCAAACCAACUUCAUCAAGAGAGGGCUGCAACAUCUCCAACACGGCAUCCUAUUUCUGCUCGCCAAGUGAUGUAUGAACUUCGAAUAUAUUCACUCGAAGAAGCAACUUUUGGUACGGUACUUAUUUCGAGGCCGAUUAGAGCUGCUCAUUGUUUAACAUCCAUCCAGUUCUCUCCCACUUCUGAGCACAUAUUGCUUGCUUAUGGUCGACGCCACAGUUCUCUUCUCAAAAGCAUUGUUAUUAAUGGGGAGACRUCAUUAUCCAUUUACACAGUUUUGGAGGUAUAUAGAGUUUCGGACAUGGAACUUGUGAGUGUGUUACCUAGUGCAGAAGAUGAGGUCAAUGUAGCUUGCUUUCACCCCCUUGCUGGCGGAGGUCUUGUCUAUGGGACCAAGGAAGGAAAACUUAGAAUCCUUCAGUACGAUGGUGCUUAUGUGACAAAAAUCACCAGGCCCGAUCACCUUUUUGAAGCACAAACAGUUGAGGUAGAACCGUAAUGCAGGUUCAGGCGUACGCUUUAGAAUGUUAAAACGCCAACGGUGAUAUUUCACAUCGAAGGAGCAGGCAGCAGGUCUCUGAAACUUAAUGCACACAGCCAUGAGCUGAACUAGUUCCUCUUUUCUUGUUCCACAUUUUGCUUGUAUUUUAGCUACCAUUUAGGCAGAGUUUUACCAACUUGUUGUAUACCCCCAUAAAGUAGUCAUUUCCCAAUGCCUACACUUUGGAGCAUUGUAUAUUAUCAACAAACUAGUUUCUUUACUUGCACAAUUGUGGACAUCUAUAAACAUUUCUUGCUCCUGCUCUAAACUUACCUCCAUUUUUCCGUU